GACGAACGCUGGCGGCGUGCCUAAUACAUGCAAGUCGAGCGGAAGUUGAAGAGCUUGCUCUUCAACUUUAGCGGCGGACGGGUGAGUAACACGUGGGCAACCUGCCCUGCAGAUCGGGAUAACUCCGGGAAAACGGUGCUAAUACCGAAUAGUUUUCGCCACCUCCUGGUGGCGUACGGAAAGACGGUUUCGGCUGUCACUGCAGGAUGGGCACGCGGCGCACUAGCUAGUUGGUGGGGUAACGGCCCACCAAGGCGACGACGCGUAGCCGACCUGAGAGGGUGAUCGGCCACACUGGGACUGAGACACGGCCCAGACUCCUACGGGAGGCAGCAGUAGGGAAUCUUCCGCAAUGGACGAAAGUCUGACGGAGCAACGCCGCGUGAGUGACGAAGGUUUUCGGAUCGUAAAACUCUGUUGUGAGGGAAGAACAAGUACCAACUAACUACUGGUACCUUGACGGUACCUCACCAGAAAGCCACGGCUAACUACGUGCCAGCCGCCGCCGUAACAC
rnacentral:rRNA from 1 species